rfam:Camelus ferus unplaced genomic scaffold scaffold1549, whole genome shotgun sequence.
GAGGUUAUAGCUCAGUAGUGGAGCGCAUGCUUAGCAUGCAUGAGGUCCUGGGUUCAAUCUUCAGUACGUCCA